UACGUAGGGUGCGAGCGUUAAUCGGAAUUACUGGGCGUAAAGCGUGCGCAGGCGGUUUUUUAAGCCCGAUGUGAAAUCCCCGGGCUUAACCUGGGAAUGGCAUUUGGGACUGCAAGGCUGGAGUUUGGCAGAGGAGACUGGAAUUCCCGGUGUAGCAGUGAAAUGCGUAGAUAUCGGGAGGAAUACCGAUGGCGAAGGCGGCAUCCUGGACCGGCAUUGACGCUGAGGAGCGAAAGCUAGGGGAGCAAACGGG
rnacentral:rRNA from 1 species